rnacentral:rRNA from 1 species
GUUUGAUCCUGGCUCAGGACGAACGCUGGCGGCGUGCUUAAUACAUGCAAGUCGAGCGGACUUGCCCUUUCGGGGGCGAGUCAGCGGCGGACGGGUGAGGAACACGUGAGUGACCAACCCGGGAGUGGGGGAUAUCGGCCGAAAGGCGCGGCAAUCCCGCAUACGCUGCCCCGAGUGGCGCUCGGGCAGAAAAGCGUUCAGCGCUCCCGGCUGGCUCGCGGAAGGAAAGCGUUCAGCGUUCCCGGUUGGCUCGCGGCCCAUUAGCUAGUUGGCGGGGGUAAUGGCCCCCCAAGGUUCCGAUGGGUAGCCGGCCUGAAAGGGUGACCGGCCACACUUGGGACUGAGACACGGCCCAGACUCCUACGGAAGGCAGCAGUAGGGAAUCUUCCACAAUGGCCGCAAGCCUGAUGGAGCAACGCCGCGUGAGUGAAGAAGGCCUUCGGGUUGUAAAGCUCUGUCUGUCGGACGAGGGCCCUGCGUGCCAGGGCGGACGGACCGGCGAAGGAAGCCCCUGCAAACUACGUGCCAGCAGCCCGCGGUAAACGUAGGGGGCAAGCGUUGUCCGGAAUUCUGGGCGUAAAGGGCGUGUAGGGGGUGGCGUACGUAGCGGUUAUAAGCCGUCGGCUCACCCGACGGAUGGUCGCUAAACGGCGCGACUGGAGGGCAGGAGAGGUGCGUGGAAUUCCUGGUGGAGCGGUGAAAUGCGUAGAGAUCAGGAAGAACACCAGUGGCGAAGGCGACGCACUGGCCUGUCCCUGACGCUGAGGCGCGAUAGCGUGGGGAGCAAACGGGAUUAGAUACCCCGGUAGUCCACGCCGUAAACGAUGGGUACUAGGUGUCGCCCGGGUCCACCGGGCGGUGCCGGAGCUAACGCACUAAGUACCCCGCCUGGGGAGUACGGCCGCAAGGUUGAAACUCAAAGGAAUUGACGGGGGCCCGCACAAGCAGUGGAGCAUGUGGUUUAAUUCGACGCAACGCGCAGAACCUUACCAGGACUAGACGGGAUCGUGAGCCCGGCGAAAGCGGCGGGCGGCUUCGGCCGAGCGAUCGUCAGGUGCUGGAUGGUUGUCGUCAGCUCGUGUCGUAGAUGUGGGUUAAGUCCCGCAACGAGCGCAACCCCUGUCGUGUGUUGCCAACGGUUCGGCCGGGCACUCACGCGAGACAGCCGGGGACGACCCGGAAGAAGGUGGGGAUUACGUAAAUCCGCAUGGCCUUUAUGUUCUUGGCUACACACGUGCUACAAUGGCCGCGACAAUGGUGCGCUUCGACGCGAGUCGAUGCUAACCCCCAAACGCGGUUUCAAUUCGGAUUGCAGGCUGCAACCCGCCCUGCAUGAAGCCGGAAUUGCUAGUAAUCGCGGAUCAGCAUGCCGCGGUGAAUCCGUUCCCGGGCCUUGUACACACCGCCCGUCACACCACGAGAGUUGGCCACACCCGAAGCCGGGCCCGCGAACCUUUCGAGGACGCGGCCGUCGACGGUGGGGUUGGUAAUUGGGGUGAAGUCGUAACAAGGU